GAUGAACGCUGGCGGCGUGCCUAAUACAUGCAAGUCGAGCGAACGGACGAGAAGCUUGCUUCUCUGCUGUUAGCGGCGGACGGGUGAGUAACACGUGGAUAACCUACCUAUAAGACUGGGAUAACUUCGUGAAACCGGAGCUAAUACCGGAUCAUAUUUUGAACCGCAUGGUUCAAAAGUGAAAGACGGCCUUGCUGUCACUUAUAGAUGGUUCCGCGGUGCAUUAGCUAGUUGGUAAGGUAACGGCUUACCAAGGCAACGAUGCAGAGCCGACCUGAGAGGGGGAACGGCCACACUGGAACUGAGACACGGUCCAGACUCCUACGGGGGGCAGCAGGAGGGGAUCUUCCGAAAUGGGCGAAAGCCUGAAGGAGCAACGCCGCGGGAGUGAUGAAGGUCCUCGGAUCGGAAAACUCUGUUAUUAGGGAAGAAAAUAUGUGUAAGUAACAGCGCACAUCUUGACGGGACCUAAUCAGAAAGCCACGGGUAACUACGGGC
rnacentral:rRNA from 1 species